rnacentral:rRNA from 1 species
CCUACGGGGGGCAGCAGUGGGGAAUAUUGGACAAUGGGGGGAACCCUGAUCCAGCCAUGCCGCGUGUGUGAAGAAGGCCCUCGGGUUGUAAAGCACUUUCAGUGAGGAAGAACGCCUGGUGGUUAAUACCCAUCAGGAAAGACAUCACUCACAGAAGAAGCACCGGCUAACUCCGUGCCAGCAGCCGCGGUAAUACGGAGGGUGCGAGCGUUAAUCGGAAUUACUGGGCGUAAAGCGCGCGUAGGUGGCUUGAUAAGCCGGUUGUGAAAGCCCCGGGCUCAACCUGGGAACGGCAUCCGGAACUGUCAAGCUAGAGUGCAGGAGAGGAAGGUAGAAUUCCCGGUGUAGCGGUGAAAUGCGUAGAGAUCGGGAGGAAUACCAGUGGCGAAGGCGGCCUCCUGGACUGACACUGACACUGAGGUGCGAAAGCGUGGGUAGCAAACAGGAUUAGAUACCCGAGUAGUC